AGAGCCCACCCUUGGAGAACCACUGGGCUAUAGAAUGAUGUCAAGGGCUGGAGAGGGAGGCUACAGAGUGGGUCUAGGUCCAGGCCGGAAAGCUGCUGAACCAGGAAGCUGUGCUGAUGCUGCUGACUGCCCCUGAGGUUAGAGAUUGACUAGACAUAGUGCCACUGUCAUCCCUGCUGGAGAAGGUCCGAAGCACCUCCACCUCUGUGCUUCCAGAGGGGCACUGUGGUGGCCACUUAAAAUGCUCAGGCUAUACCAUGCACUAGAGCAUCUACCUGGGCAAGGGAUAUGCUGUAUGACACUCUCCUGAUGCUGGGCAUGGCUGUGAGCCAAAGCACCCAGGCAGCCCUGCCAUCAGAAGGGUAAACCACGGACACCUGAUGCCUUCCUGAAGGAAGAGCACUACGCCUGCCAAACCAUCAAGCGUUGAUGCUCCAGCGCCUUCUACCCGUGGUUCUCCAGCCUCAGCAGAAGAGAGAGAAAUUGAUGACCCUGUCGUUGUAGCAUCCCCAUCACCCAGCAAUUAAUUUUAGUUCAAUGCUUCAAACGCUCUUCAGGCGCAGUGUGCGUUCAGCUGUGUCAGCUAAUGGUGAGUACCCGGACAACCAUUCUGUUUCACAUUCAGUACAGUAUUCAAUAAAUCACAUGAGAUACUCAACACUGUAUUAUAACAUAGAUAGGCCUGUGUUACAUUAUGUUGCCCACUGUAAGCUAAUGUAAGUGUUCUGAGCACGUUUAAGGGAGGCGAGGCUGAGCUCUGAUAUUCGAUAGGUUAGGUGUAUUCAAAGCAUUUUAGACUUUCAAUAUUUUCAAUUUACAAUGGCUUUUAUAGGGAUGU
rnacentral:lncRNA from 1 species